UGAACGACCAUGGAGCCCACUCUGU
rnacentral:piRNA from 1 species